rnacentral:hammerhead_ribozyme from 1 species
AUCCAGUGACGAGUCUCAAACAGGACGAAACACACAUCCUGGAU